GAUGAACGCUGGCGGCGUGCCUAAUACAUGCAAGUCGAGCGAACAGACGAGGAGCUUGCUCCUUUGACGUUAGCGGCGGACGGGUGAGUAACACGUGGAUAACCUACCUAUAAGACUGGGAUAACUUCGGGAAACCGGAGCUAAUACCGGAUAACAUGUUGAACCGCAUGGUUCAACAGUGAAAGACGGUCUUGCUGUCACUUAUAGAUGGAUCCGCGCCGCAUUAGCUAGUUGGUAAGGUAACGGCUUACCAAGGCAACGAUGCGUAGCCGACCUGAGAGGGGGACCGGCCACCUUGAAACUGAGACCGGGUCCAGCUUCUGACGGGAGGCAGAGGUGGGGAAUCUUCCGCAAUGGGCGAAAGCCUGCCGGAGCAACGCGGCGGGGGUGAAGAAGGUCUUCGGUUCGUAAAACCUUGUUAUUAGGAAAGAACAAAGGUGUAGGUAACGAUGCCGGUCUGGAGGGAACCUAUCAGAAAGCCACGGCUAACUACGUG
rnacentral:rRNA from 1 species